AUUGAACGCUGGCGGCAGGCCUAACACAUGCAAGUCGAACGGUAACAGGAAGCAGCUUGCUGCUUUGCUGACGAGUGGCGGGCGGGUGAGUAAUGUCUGGGAAACUGCCCGAUGGAGGGGGGUAACUACUGGAAACGGUAGCUAAUACCGCAUAACGUCGCAAGACCAAAGAGGGGGACCUUAUGGCCUCUUGCCAUCUGAUGUGCCCAGAUGGGAUUAGCUAGUAGGUGGGGUAACGGCGCACCUAGGCGACGAUCCCUAGCUGGUCUGAGAGGAUGAGCAGCCACACUGGAACUGAGACACGGUCCAGACUCCUACGGGAGGCAGCAGUGGGGAAUAUUGCACAAUGGGCGCAAGCCUGAUGCAGCCAUGCCGCGUGUAUGAAGAAGGCCUUCGGGUUGUAAAGUCCUUUUAGCGGGGAAGAAGGGAGUAAAGUUAAUACCUUGCCUCAUUGACGUUACCCGAAGAAGAAGCACCGGCUAACUCCGUG
rnacentral:rRNA from 1 species